rnacentral:rRNA from 1 species
GACGAACCGUCCUAACGUUGUUCGGAAUCACUGGGCUUAAAGGGCGCGUAGGCGGUCGGCAAAGUCAGGGGUGAAAUCUUUCGGCUUAACCGGAAAGUGCCUUUGAAACUAGUCGACUCGAGCGAGAUAGGGGCAUGUGGAACUUCCGGUGGAGCGGUGAAAUGCGUUGAUAUCGGAAGGAACGCCGGUGGCGAAAGCGACAUGCUGGAUCUCUUCUGACGCUGAGGCGCGAAAGCUAGGGGAGCAAACAGG